CCUACGGGCGGCAGCAGUGGGGAAUAUUGCACAAUGGGCGCAAGCCUGAUGCAGCCAUGCCGCGUGUGUGAAGAAGGCCUUCGGGUUGUAAAGCACUUUCAGCGGGGAGGAAGGCGGUGAGGUUAAUAACCUCAUCGAUUGACGUUACCCGCAGAAGAAGCACCGGCUAACUCCGUGCCAGCAGCCGCGGUAAUACGGAGGGUGCAAGCGUUAAUCGGAAUUACUGGGCGUAAAGCGCACGCAGGCGGUCUGUCAAGUCGGAUGUGAAAUCCCCGGGCUCAACCUGGGAACUGCAUUCGAAACUGGCAGGCUAGAGUCUUGUUGAGGGGGGUAGAAUUCCAGGUGUAGCGGUGAAAUGCGUAGAGAUCUGGAGGAAUACCGGUGGCGAAGGCGGCCCCCUGGACAAAGACUGACGCUCAGGUGCGAAAGCGUGGGGAGCAAACAGGAGUAGAUACCCCAGUAGUC
rnacentral:rRNA from 1 species